rnacentral:SRP_RNA from 1 species
GCUGGGUAUGGUGACUCAUGCCUGUAAUCCCAGCACUUUGGGAGGCCGAGGCGGGUGGAUCACCUGAGGUCAGGAGUUCAGGACUAGCCUGGCCAACAUGGUGAAACCCCGUCUUUA